UGAGAAGAGCUGCUGUUGAGUCUGAUAUCAGUGUAAUGAAGCACUGUGGUACACUUUUGGUGGAGGAACUGAACUGGUGAUCAAAACUGGUCCCGCAGUGAAGCCCUCCGUGUCUCUGCUGCCUCCCUCUUCUCUGCAGAUCUCUGGAGACUCAGCCGCACUGCUCUGUCUGCUCAGCUCUUACUCUCCACAGGGGGCGCAGGUGAGCUGGAAGCUGGACGGGUC